rnacentral:rRNA from 1 species
GGGAGGCAGCAGUGGGGAAUAUUGGACAAUGGGCGAAAGCCUGAUCCAGCCAUGCCGCGUGAGUGAUGAAGGCCUUAGGGUUGUAAAGCUCUUUCAGUGGGGAAGAUAAUGACGGUACCCACAGAAGAAGCCCCGGCUAACUUCGUGCCAGCAGCCGCGGUAAUACGAAGGGGGCUAGCGUUGUUCGGAUUUACUGGGCGUAAAGCGCACGUAGGCGGUUUGUUAAGUCAGAGGUGAAAUCCCGGAGCUCAACUCCGGAACUGCCUUUGAUACUGGCAAGCUAGAGUCCGGAAGAGGUGAGUGGAACUCCUAGUGU